rnacentral:rRNA from 1 species
AAUGAACGUUGGCGGCGUGGAUUAGGCAUGCAAGUCGCGCGAGAACUGUAGCAAUACAGGGAAAGCGGCGUAAGGGACAGUAAUACCUAGAAACGUACCCCCGGGUCUGGGAUAGCGGCGGGAAACUUCCGGUAAUACCAGAUAACGUCUCCGGACCAAAGGUGUGAUUCCACCUGGGGAGCGGUCUAGGCCCUAUUGGCUUGUUGGGGGGGUAACGGCCUACCAAGGCAAAGAUGGGUAGCAGGUGUGAGAGCACGACCUGCGUCACUGGGACUGAGACACUGCCCAGACACCAACGGGUGGCUGCAGUCGAGAGUCUUCGGCAAUGGGCGCAAGCCUGACCGAGCGACGCCGCGUGCGGGAUGAAGGCCUUCGGGUUGUAAACCGCUGUCGAAGGGGAUGAAAUUCCGGAGGGUUCUCUCUCCGGAUUGACAGAUCCUUGGAGGAAGGACGGGCUAAGUUCGUGCCAGCCGCCGCGGUAAGAC